UUGAUCUCCCUCCGUUGCUGGAACCUAGUCGUGCAAAUUCUGCAUUAUAGGAGGGAUGUCCUACCAUGAAGCUCAUGCCAUUCAUCCACAUGGGACCUCCAAGUGCGAGGUACCUGGAUGCCUUGCACAAGAGUCAUCCUGUAGCAUCCAGCUUGGCCCCCUUUUACCCCUUCAGAGACCGGGCUGGGCAAGGCCAGGUGAUGCAGUCCCUGGAGCUGGGGAAGGAGCCUGGACCAGAGCAAGAGGGGAAGGCGGCUCAUGCCUGGGUUCUGUGCGUGAGGUGAAGGGAGCCGGCCUUGGGGAGAGCUAUGGAGGCUGUGCAGGAGCUGGAAAGGUCUCCAAAUUUUGCCUGCCUGUAUUUCUGAUCAUCUGAAAUUGAUGUGGGGGUGCUGCAGAUCUGUGACAAUCCGAAGGCAUUUUAUUUCUUUGCAUCACCUGUGACCCCAAACCUCCCCAGACCAGAACACGGUUCUUACCAACA